AAGAGGAAAGGAAAGAACACAAACCCAAGGUGAGAAACUUGAAGAAAAAGUGUGGGAUUUCAAGGGAUUAAGCUAAUAAAGGUAAAAUUUUGUGAUUUUAUCUUGUGAUUUGCACUACCCAUGCUUUCUUUUUCAUUUUCCAUGCUUAGAACUCAAGUUUGCAUGAUGAACCCAUGUUGGCCGAAUUUGAGAGGAGAGGUUUUGAGCAUUGAUUUUGCUAGAUUUCAAGCUAAUUAAGUGUUUUUGGUUGUUUGGUAAUGGAAAGUAUGAAAAUCUAGCAAGGAAUCACUUUGUUCUUCACAAACCCACAAAAGGCCAAAUUUUCUAGGGAGGAUAUUGAGGCUGAAAUUUAUGAUAUUUCAUGAUAUUUUGGUGGUAUUUAAUGAUUGGUGAGGCUAGAAAUUUAAUGGGAAAUUUUGGCAUGAAAAUAUGAAUUAUUACGUAAUGUAUAGACAUGUGCGAUUUAUGGUUCGGACUGAUAAAUUGAAUCAUAUUCACAGUCAUUGAGGUAUUUUAAGUAUAAUUGGAGUGUAGAAAGUGAAAGAAAUCGAUUUGGAGUUAAAUUGGAGGUUUUAGCCAAUUAUACCGAGAAUAGUGCGAAUUAGGUCGAAUAUCGUAUUUAAACGACUAUUCGGACAUUUUGCAUCACAUUUCGUGCACUCAUAUAGAUUUAUAGAGCCUGAAAUAGUUUAUAAUAAAUUGACAUAAUUUAUUGAAAUUCGUGUCACGUAUGAUAUAUAGGUGGUGAGCCCUAUAACAAGGGUAAAGAGAUUGUACUCGAAGACUAGGAAUAGGAGUAUAUCGAACUCCUAGUACUGUGAGUAACCUUACUAUUAUCUUAAUUAUCUAAAGUAUGUUUUAUCCGAUUUUGUGAAUUUUAUGAAAAAUGAAUUAAAUGGUUAAUUUUUCGAUUUUAUAAACAAAAUGUGAUUUAGUGAAAUGAUUUCAUAAAAUUGUUUUAAAAUUGAAUAAUGGCUUUUCAAAUAGAGUAAUUGGAGACCAUUUGAUGUAUUGUGAAUUUAUUGUUCUAAUUGAUUGGCUUAUGACAAUAUUGGCAUGAAUGACUGAAUUGGUAUUUGUGUUGAAAUGUAUAAACUAUUGUUUGCCUUGAUAGGCUAGAUAAUGAUAAAAUUGCCAUAUCAUGUUGUUGAAUUUUUACUGUAUGGUGGGUUUAGCUUGCUGCAGUGGGCUAGUUCUGUGGACCAACCUAUUAGAGGGGCACGGAACCUUGUCAUAUAUAUGUACCUCGAUUGGAAAGGAACAUAGGGUAACUUCUGAGGUCAAACUUUAGAGUUCACUUUACGCCCAACCACUACUUGAGGGGAACUCGGCCAACGCUAAGGAACGGCUAUGUUUUCAAAACAAAAACAUGAUUUAUACGUACAUAACUUUUUAACAACCUUGGCAGACUAGGUUUAGGAUAGCCCUCAGCCAAGGUAUCCUUGAUGACUGAGAAUGACAAUGAUUUUGGCACGAGCCAAAGUUUUAAGAAAUUCAUAAGCCAUGUUAAUUACUCAAUUUAUAUGAAUUGAUUUUAUUUGGUUGAAACAAGUUGAAAGGUGAUGAAUUUCAAUAUGUUAAACUGUUUUAUCUGUCUCCAUUUACUCGACUUUAGAUGGUUUAGAUGGUAUCUAUUUACUCACUGGGAUUUUAUAAUCUCACCACCUUCCUUUUUAAUCAUUUCAGACCCGAGGUAGCCUAUGGAUAGUAGAUAUCGUAAAGGAUUAUAGUCGGCUUUACUACUCCAAAAACUGUAGGUUUACUGCCUUUGUGCACUUUUGUUCCUUGUGGGCCCAUCAGUCACUGUAAAGUAUAUUUCAUAUCCCGGCUAUCGAUAUUAUAAUAUGUAUGAAUUUAUUUAGGUUUUACAUUACAAAAAUUAUUUACCGAUGACUCUAUAAAUAUUGUUUUACAAGAAAUUAGAAUAUUUUAUUGAAUAUUUUAAUUUUAUUCAAA
rnacentral:lncRNA from 1 species